AUGUUGCCAGGCACCCAACAAGACAUCUUCCAACUGCAACCAAAUCCCUCCAUCCAGAUUUGGAGUAAUCAAUCUGAAAAUUUUUUACUUCAUAGCACCACAAGGGAUAUAAAGAGUAUAGAAAGACCCUGCCUGCAUGGAACUUAUAGUCAGCUCCUCCUGUCUGCUGGGAAACAAAGGACACAAGGGCAACGACAGGUGGGCAUAGAAAAGAAAAACACAUGGCCUCUAUCCUGGUUAACACUUGUCUGCAGGGCACCUGCACUUUCUCACCAAAAGGUACCUUUUUGUCCAGUAAUGAAAAUUGUAUUAAUCAUGGAAAUCAUUUUAUUAUAUCAAAUAGCUAUUAAUCAUUGAGAGAAGUGGAGGUGAUUUGUAUAAUUGGAUAAAAAAAAAAAUCACAAAAUUCUCCUUUGUCAUUUCAAUGAAUUUUUUUUUUAAAUCUGUGUGAUCUCUAGAAAUGUCUUUAAGGCACAUAAUUUCCCAAAGCAUUACUGAAUUUUUAACCAGAGGAACUGUUUUCAAAUCCCUACUCUACGAUUUACUAUCCAUGUGACUAGGGGCAAAUCAGUUGACCCUCUUGUUCUCUUUCUGCAUUUGUAAAAAGAGAGUUUUAAUGCUAGAUGAUUUCUGAGAUUCCUUCUAAACUCUUAAUCUAUAAUCCCUUAACCUAUGAUCCAUACAGAAGAACAAUACAUAAUAAAGUGUUAGAAUCUAAUCUAAUAUUUAAUGACAAGAUAAAUGUUCUGUUGAAUUUUUGCAAUUCUACAUAGUUAUAGAAUGGAGUUAAAGACCCCGUUUACUCCCUCCCCAUACCACCCCCCAUCCCCACCAUGAUACUUUUUAAAUAAAGUUUCCAAAAUAGUUUUUUUUAUAACAUUUCAUAUAUACAUUUUAUUCUGAGAAAUGCAACUUGCUAAUAAUAACAGUUAAGUCAGAUUCUACUUGAUCUUUUUAAGAAAUGCAUUUGUAUCAAUCUCUGCUUCUUACCUUAAAAAUUUUCUUCUAUAAAGUUUCAAUUGUGUUUUCCACAUGAACAAUAAAGGAACAAUGUCAAGUUAUCUCAGAGGCAAAGUUAAGAUUCAAUGAUGAAAAAAUAUUUAUGAAUCCAUAGAAAUCAUUUGAAGCUAUUUUUAAAAAAAGAUGUAUAAUUAAAGCUAAGGUUAAAAAAAAAGACCCGCCUAACAUCCUGAUAAUGUGCUAGAUUUGACUGAGACCAAAUCACAGAUGGCUUACUCCGUUCCAAUGUAAGAUCUGCAGACCAGGAGCUAGAAAGCCAUGUCCUACUCUCAAGCUCUGCCACCAACUCUAUGAUCUCGGUGGACAGUUAGCCCAUCUCUUGGAGCUCUUAUUUCCUCAUCUGUAAAUAGAUUAAGGGGUAGACCAUGUCUAAAGGGUUCCUUCUGGGUCUAACAUUCAAUAUUUCGGUAAGGCGAUAGCACAAAUAGUAUAGAAUAAUUUUUUUUUUUUUUUUGCUGGAUAAAGAAAUGACUUUAAAUAUAUGGUUUAGUUUUGAUAGGGGCCUCAUGCCCUUAGAGCUACCUGUAAACAUCUUUAACUUUUAGACUAAUAUGGUAUCUAAGGCCACUUUGAGCUCUAAAGUUCUCCAAGUCCAAGAUCAUUUUAUCUUCUUUUUUGCAAGUUAAACAACAGCAAGGCAGUAAGGAUAAGUGGGUCCUAGAAUUCUUCUAAUGGGCCAAAAGAUAUGAAACUUCCUGGAGAUUCUGUUAUUUACAGAGAAAAAGAAAGAAGGUGGGAGGGAGAAAGAAGAAAGAAAGGGAGGGGAGAGAGGGAGAGCAAAAGGGAGAAAGAGGAAGGGGGAGAAGAGAGGGAGGAGUAGAAAAAGGGAGGAAGGGGGAGACAGAGGGAGAGAAGAAGAGAGAGAAGGAAGGAGAGGGAGAGAAAAAAAACAUGGAGGGAAGGAGAAAAAGAGAGAGAGGAAGGAGGCCAAAAACUAAAUUUCCACACAGGGAAAUAUUUAUAAAAACCUUUUAUGUCAAAGUCAGGAUUUCACAACAUAACACACUAAUGCAAAAUCCAGUAGCACCUAUAAGAUUUAAGUAAAUGCUGCCAUCACUUAGACACUUUUUUAAUACCUGUAAAAGAUUUGAGAAAAGAAAAAUAAAGAGAAAAAGUACAUUCUCCAGAGGAACAGCAAGUGUAUUUCAAAAUAAAAAUUGUAUUUUUGUUUUUUCUUUUUUUUUUCAAAAAAUUUUUUUAACAAGACUCUAUAGUUGUCAUAUAACAAGUUAUAUAUGAUGUGAUUGUUCUGGUCCCCCCACCCCCACCCCAUAUUAUUCCAUAUCUGCACUCUGUGGUUAUUUUCUUCCCCAAUAUUAUCUUCUGGCAAAUAUUUAUAUGACUGUGUACCCACAGCUGGAUCUAAAUAUAGGUAUUCUAUAUAGUAUUUUUCUCUGGGAAAAAAAUUAGUUUUUCAAAUAUGUAAAUGAUCAUUUUCAUAAUACAGAAAUGGAGGGCCUACAGGAGGCACACAAUCUAAUUAUGACCUGCAGAUGACAAUUUCCAGACACGCACCUGUUGUACAUGAACAUUUAAAAUAUUCAUAACAAUAAAAUUUUAUUUAUAUGUGCACUUAUAUCCAUCUUAUCCCCUAUAAUGUACAUGUCUUAUUUAUAACAAUCUGGGAAUUUAAAAGGUGCAGCCUUCAAUAGAUUGUUAAUCUCUAAAAAAACAAAAACUAUCCUCUAUGGGACAAGGAAAAAAAAUCUCAAAAAUUUUCCAAUUUCAAAUUUCAUUUCAGUAGGAAAAUAUUAAAAAUAAUUUUCUGUGUAUAUACAUAUAGUUAUAUGUAUAUAUUGAAUGACACGUCUCACAUAGUAACACAAUUCAAGUGGAGACAUUUUAGUGAACUAUUUUCCCACAUUUAAAUGACACCUAUGUCAAAUUGUAAAAAUAUUUUAAUUAUUACAUCAUUAAAAUGAUAAUUCACUUGCCAUGCCAUCAACUUACAUUAUUUCUUUAUGACUAAAUUCCCUGAUCCCAAGUUAAAACCUCCAUUUAAAUGAAUCUUUCUUGGGAUCUGUGGAUAUCAUGACAUCUUCUACUUCUAAAUUCCAUCCAUCAAAUC
rnacentral:lncRNA from 1 species